GAUUCAGCUGAAAAGCCGGAGAGAAAUGAGAUUGGAUUCAGAUCCUUCAGCCUAAUUAAAAGUAGAGCCUCACUCUCUCCAGAAGCCAUAAAAAAUUUUAAAUUUUGAAGCUUCUUUCAAGAAAGUGUGGCUUCGCUCGGAUCCCACCCCGAGCCAAAGAAGCCAAGGACACGCGAAACUCGUUUUGACUUAUUCUAUUAACGUAUAUACAAGGAUUACUUGCUUGAUAGACGUUAUUUUAUGUUUAGACUCUUACUUCCCGGUUGGCAUUAAAAGAACUUUUUCCAUGUCCGUUGUGCGUUCGGCUAGGCAACAAUAUGGCGACCGAGUGGUGAGGGAGACCACUACUCGAGAAAUUCCCAGAGAUUUCGACUGCCAAGAUUCAAUCCCCGAGUUCUUCAGAGCGGUAGACUGAGGCCUUAACCACGUGCGAUCCAAUAAAAUGGAAUUAAAAUGCAUGACAGUUAUCAUUAUUCUGCUAAGUACAUGUAAAACAUCGUGUCUAAAUUAAGUAAUUGAAUAUUGAAAACAAGUUUUGCAUAUGUAAAAUAUAAAUUAUAAUUUAUGUUUCAUUAUGUUAGCGAUAGCUAAAUAACCUGAUACGUCAGUAGGAUGCUUUGUAAUUAUUCCGAGAACCGAAACAAUUAAUUUUAUAGAUAAAAGUAUGAAUGAAUACGUUUUAUAUGUAGAUUUUUAUGAUAAAGUUUUUAACGUUAUAUUCAGGUUAUUUCGAGCCUCUAGCCUUAUUUGGAUACGAAGAAUAUAAAUGUCAUUUUCGGUUAUAAAAAUUCUGAAACAUCUGAGAGAUUUCGAUCUAUGGAAUAAUUAUCAUAUUUCUCUUUUAUUGCUAUAAAUUUGGGCUUAAGAAAGAGUUUAAUUCUAUUUUUACUUCGGUUCGACUCGAACCGUUUGAUCGAAAUCCAAUUAAAAUUGCUUGACAACUUAAGUCGAUAAACAUCAUUAUCCUAUUACUAUAUGGAAAUGAAUCAAUUUAUCCGCAUUUUUGAUUCAAACUAUGGAUUAUUUUUAAAAAAAUUUACGGUAUAACUUGAAAAUUUUUUAUUUGUAUUCAACGUUUAUUUCUAAAUAACAUUUAGUUACAUAAAUUUGUGUUACAACUUGUAUUUUUCCGAAACAGGAAUUGAAUGAUAAACAGAUGUUUACAUUGAAGGUAAUAUAGAUAAUUUUUGCAAUUUGACCUAUGUUAAUGUUUAUGAAUAUUUAUAAAUGAAUUUAUAAAUAAUAAUGGAAAACUGUAUAUAUAGUAAGCCAUGUUCAUAUAUUACUGGUUUAUAUUCUAUAUUAUAGUGUUAAAACCGUACGCACGUUAGAAAUUAUCUAUAUGUUUCUCUACUCUUCCCAUACAUUUUAUUUUUUUCCAGUUUUCUUUUAUGUUGAAAUUAAAAAUCAUUAAAACAGUGUCUGACAUCUGUUUCUGUCGUUGACUAUUAACGGCCAUCCAUUUAAUUACGUAAGUUUAAGGGAGAUUGUAAAAAGUUUGUCAUCAUUCACGAUGGGAAGGGGGUCGGGCAUUAUCUACGUAAAUUAUUUUAGUGUAGGUAAUAUAUUAAUUUGUUCUUAUAAAUCUACUUACUAGUCAUGUAAAUAAAUUAGCAGAAAAUAUUUCCAAAACUUUUUAAAAGGUUUAGGAACUGUUGUACAGUUUAUAUUACAGUAAAGGAGUUUGCUAAGAUCCCUUCCUGUUGUGUACAGUAUAUAAAAUGAUAUACAGAACAGGAGUUGGUCAGAAGUGUCUCAAAAACUGUAUACGUAAUUAACGAAUGGUCUUUUCUAAGAUGGAGUUGAGAAAAUUUCUUAUACAAAACCCCGAAAGUCAUACGUUGUCAAGUCUGCAUUUCGAAGAGACCUACACCUUAUUCCGGAACGUACACAAACCACGUAGCCCAUUAUAUAUAUAUAUAUUUUUUCAAAUUUUGACUCCUUCACUGUCCUGGUGACUCUCACUUGGCCAUGCACGUGACCUACUCCUAAAAUCAUGUAGUUUAAAGGAAGCCAGACUCCCAAAUAUUUUUACUUUGAAACAGCGAAUAGAGAAAAACUUUUAGCAACUAUUUCUGAACAAAAAUAAAAACACAAUAAAAUACACACAUAGAUCAGUUAUAAAUAACAAUUAUAAAAUGUAGCAAAAUAUUACAAAAUUUUUGAAUUAUUCUCCAGUUAAUAACGGUAAUGGGAAAACUCAUACAGGGUGGGAAAAAGUCCGUGAAAAUUCAUAAAAGAUGAGAAAAUUAUCGGAAUGAAGUGCAGUUUGCAAGGCAAGUAUUGUCAGCAAGGGGAUUUUGUUGACAGAGAAAAUUAAUUCCAAAAAUCACCGAUAGGUGGAGCUAUUACCAAUGAAAUGCUGGGAGUAUGUAAAUUUGACUGAUAUCAAAUGUUGCGUGUCCGAGAAUUUUGUACGCCGGCCCACCAAAGGCCAAGCGGUCUUCGUCCCGGAACACUGACAGUUCGGUCAUGGGUUCGCGCCUCACUCGGACAGGCUGGCAACGUGGAGUUUCCGGUUUUCUCCACGUCUGUAACGCCUAAAUAGGGGCCAGUUUCCCUUAAAAGACCUCCCGGAAGGCAUUAUUUUCCAGCGCACGUAUGGUCUUUCCAUCUAUAGGCCGGCCAAUCGGACGCAUGCGUCCAUAUUCUCGUUCUCUCGGAGUACAUAGCCUAUAUGAGCUGCACUCUCCAUAUUAACCAUUCGACAAAGACAAUUUCGUACACCUCACCUUUGUGAAUAGUGAAUCAUCCAUCCGUGCAUGCUGCACGAUGCAGUUGCGGACUUUGUUGCACGACUAAAUUGUUAUAUCCUAUGGCGGAAGCCAUGUCGACACUUUCUUCUCUAAUAAACAAGUGAAAAUUAUUUUCAUUAUUGUUUGCAUAUCUAUUCAUCAUCUGCUUUUUUUGUUGGAGUAUGCACCUGUAAGUGUUAUGUUUGAUUGCGAUUUCUAGUAAUUAUAGAUUUUUUUAUAUUCUGUGAAGUAUGAGAUAAGGACUUUUUGGCAAGUAUCCAGCGGAGUUAACUUUAAACAUUCAGUGAUUUUGGAGAUAUUAUUGUUUGUGUUUGAAGGAUUUUGUUGCGUGUUACCAAAUCUGGGAAAUUAAUGGUGACUUGUCGUGUCGACUUGACAAGGCAAUAUCUGCACUUCUUAAUUUUGAUUUUGCGUGUACCGUGUUUCCCCGAAAAUAAGAUAGGUUUUGCUGAAAUGCGAAAUA
rnacentral:lncRNA from 1 species